rnacentral:tRNA from 1 species
GCCGGAAUAGCUCAGUUGGUAGAGCAACUGAUUCGUAAUCAGUAGGUCGUCGGUUCAACUCCGAUUUCCGGCUCCA